rnacentral:rRNA from 1 species
UGAGGAAUAUUGGACAAUGGGCGAAAGCCUGAUCCAGCCAUGCCGCGUGAAUGAUGAAGGCCUUAGGGUUGUAAAGUUCUUUUAGCUGUGACGAUGAUGACGGUAGCAGCAGAAAAAGCCCCGGCUAACUCCGUGCCAGCAGCCGCGGUAAUACGGAGGGGGCGAGCGUUGUUCGGAUUUACUGGGCGUAAAGCGUGCGUAGGUGGUUUCCUAAGUUAGAAGUGAAAGCCCAGGGCUUAACCCUGGAAUUGCUUUUAAGACUGGGUCACUAGAAUAUAGGAGAGGUAGAUGGAAUUCCGAGUGUAGAGGUGAAAUUCGUAGAUAUUCGGAGGAACACCAAUGGCGAAAGCAGUCUACUGGACUAUUAUUGACACUGAGGCACGAAAGCGUGGGGAGCAAA